GGAGGGUGCAAGCGUUAUCCGGAUUCACUGGGUUUAAAGGGUGCGUAGGUGGGCAGGUAAGUCAGUGGUGAAAUCUCCGGGCUUAACCCGGAAACUGCCAUUGAUACUAUCAGUCUUGAAUACCGUGGAGGUAAGCGGAAUAUGUCAUGUAGCGGUGAAAUGCUUAGAUAUGACAUAGAACACCAAUUGCGAAGGCAGCUUACUACCCGAAUAUUGACACUGAGGCACGAAAGCGUGGGGAUCAAACAGGAUUAGAUACCCUGGUAGUCCACGCCCUAAACGAUGGAUACUCGACAUACGCGAUACACAGUGUGUGUCUGAGCGAAAGCAUUAAGUAUCCCACCUGGGAAGUACGACCGCAAGGUUG
rnacentral:rRNA from 1 species